rnacentral:rRNA from 2 species
GACGGGGGGGGCUAGUGUUAUUCGGAAUGACUAGGCGUAAAGGGCACGUAGGCGGUGAAUCCGGUUGAAAGUGAAAGUCGCCAGCUCAACUGGCGGAAUGCUUUCAAAACCAAUUCACUUGAGUAAGAUAGAGGAUAGUGGAAUUUCGUGUGUAGAGAUAAAAUUCACAGAUAUACGAAGGAACACCAAAAGCGAAGGCAGCUUUCUGGGUCUCUACUGACGCUGAGGUGCGAAAGCAUAGGGAGCAAACAGG